AAUAGGAGGCACAUGGAGGAAAGAGCCAGAAGGGUAUGAAAACAAGCAAAGGGCACAGAGGGCUGGAGGCAGGAUGGCCAGAAGCUGCCUCCCAACACCUCAAACUAUGCUAUGGAUAACAUCUGUUCUGAGAAUACAUCUGGAACUUGUAAUCAGGAGCAGGAUUCUGGUCUGGACAGCAAUCACAUCCUGGAGCUGAGAAAGACAGGAGCUGCUAGCUUGUGCCCCCAAAGGGAGAAAACGACAGUUUGGUUCUAACUUCCGUCCACCCCAGGUGAACAUUCAUCAUGGCUCACCAGAUCCUAACACCACCACAGUGCCUACAGCAAUCUGGAAGAGUCCUACUAUGGGCAGGGAGAGAGACACAGAGUGAAAGUGGUCUCUACUGAGUCUCUACUAUGCGCUAAUUCUUCUGUUCCUCAAAGAUGCUGCCUACCAUUACUUUAUGGAGGAGGAAAUGGGUCAAAAGGUUCACUGACUUACCUAGGAGCCUGAAAAAGUAGAUUUCCAACCUUUCACAGCCUGUGAGUAGAGACAACCAGGCUUGCACUCCCAGCUAUGUGACCUCAAGGAAGCCACCCAUCAGUUAAGUGGGAAUACUGGUGACACCUUUUAUGUCAACUUCAUGAUGGUAUGGGCAAAAAUGCAUACAUAAGCACCAUGGAGACUGGGAAGUCUACACCAUGAUGAUUAGUAACCAUCACUAGAAGUGACCACUAGGGAUGAGGUAUGGCUCAGUGGUAGAGAAACUGUCUAGCAUGUGCAAGGCUAUAAGUUCAAUCACCAGUACUGCCAAAAAAAUUUUUUAGUUCCUAUUUAAUGCUUGAACUUAAAAAUUAAGACAUGAGCUAAGUUCUUGGGGCUCAGCAUGUAAAAGCACUUGUUACCUAGCCUGAAGACAUGAGCUCCUAUCCCAGGACCCACAAGCGAAAAAGAAGGAACCAGCUCCUGAAAAUUGUCCUCUGGCCUACAUAUGUGUGCCAUGGUGCAUGAAUGCCUGCACUCAUGCAUGUACAUCACAAACACACAAUACACAAACAAACAAAUAAAUGUAAUAAGUUAAGAAAAGAAGUGACUUUAUGGUUGGGAAUGCAGUUUGGUGACACUGCACUGUUGAGCCUAUGUGAAGCCCUGGGUUCAAUCUCUAGUACCACCACAAAAUACAGUAGAGGAGUGGGGGAGGCUGGAGAGAUGGCUCAGCCUGGACU